rnacentral:rRNA from 1 species
UACGUAGGCAGCAAGCGUUGUUCGGAGUUACUGGGCGUAAAGGGUGUGUAGGCGGUUUUCUAAGUUUGGUGUGAAAUCUCCCGGCUCAACUUGGAGGGUGCGCCGAAAACUGGGGGGCUAGAGUACUGGAUGGGAGAGUGGAAUUCCUGGUGUAGCGGUGAAAUGCGUAGAUAUCAGGAGGAACACCUGUGGUGUAGACGGCUCUCUGGACAGUAACUGACGCUGAGACACGAAAGCGUGGGUAGCAAACAGG